CCUACGGGAGGCAGCAGUGAGGAAUAUUGGUCAAUGGCCGGAAGGCUGAACCAGCCAAGCCGCGUGAAGGACGAAGGUGCCAAGCAUUGUAAACUUCUUUUGUCAAGGGACAAAAUCAGGCUCGAGAGCCUGACCGAGGGUACUUGAAGAAAAAGCAUCGGCUAACUCCGUGCCAGCAGCCGCGGUAAUACGGAGGAUGAGAGCGUGAUCCGGAUUUUUGGGGUUUAAAGGGGGCGUAGGGGGACUGUUUAGUCAGCGGUAAAAGCGCGGGGCUCAACCCCGGCGAGCCGUUGAAACUGGCUGUCGUGAGAUGUCGAGAGGUAUGCGGAAUGCGCAGUGUAGCGGUGAAAUGCUUAGAUAUUGCGCAGAACUCCGAUUGCGAAGGCAGCAUACCGGCGGCGAUCUGACGCUGAGGCACGAAAGUGUGGGGAGCAAACAGGAUUAGAUACCCUUGUAGUC
rnacentral:rRNA from 1 species